AUUAAAAACAAUAAAAUGCAUUAGAACCAAGCAAUGUCAACAGCAAAGUAUUAUGGAGAAUGCAGUCCAAGAUUUCGUUAGAAUAUGUUAUAAUAUGUUAAAUGUAGAUUUAGAACUCGUCACGGCUUCUAGAAAAUUUACCUGCCAUUCAACUGCUUACCGACACAGAUAAUCUUGGGUGAUGUAGUUUACCAACUAUGUAAAUAUGGCAGAAUUUUGUCAAAAUUUUGGGGACAUGUCAUCCUGUUUACUAUUUAGAAACCUGUUUGAAGCAGCUCUGUCAACUUACAGGAUCUUUGCAUAAUUUACCAAGACCCACAGUGGUGACUUUGCCGCUUGUUGUCUGGUAGCUAUAGAGUACCCCAGCCAUGGUCUUCCUUCUGGUCCUCUUCAUCAGCCAGGAGCCCAUAUCAGUGCUGUUCUCUUGAGCAUACAUGAGAGUACAUAACUGAGAUCCAU